rnacentral:tRNA from 1 species
GGGCCUAUAGUUCAGUGGUAGAACACGGCAUUCGCAUUGCCGGGACGCCGGUCCGAUUCCGGCUAGGUCCA